CAGGUUUACCUGUGUGACUGCGUACCUUUUGUAUAAUGGGUCAGCGACUUAUAUUCUGUAGCAAGGUUAACCGAAUAGGGGAGCCGGAGGGAAACCGAGUCUUAAUUGGGCGUUAAGUUGCAGGGUAUAGACCCGAAACCCGGUGAUCUAGCCAUGGGCAGGUUGAAGGUUGGGUAACACUAACUGGAGGACCGAACCGACUAAUGUUGAAAAAUUAGCGGAUGACCUGUGGCUGGGGGUGAAAGGCCAAUCAAACCGGGAGAUAGCUGGUUCUCCCCGAAAGCUAUUUAGGUAGCGCCUCGUGAAUUCAUCUCCGGGGGUAGAGCACUGUUUCGGCUAGGGGGCCAUCCCGGCUUACCAACCCGAUGCAAACUGCGAAUACCGGAGAAUGUUAUCACGGGAGACACACGGCGGGUGCUAACGUCCGUCGUGAAGAGGGAAACAACCCAGACCGCCAGCUAAGGUCCCAAAGUCAUGGUUAAGUGGGAAACGAUGUGGGAAGGCCCAGACAGCCAGGAUGUUGGCUUAGAAGCAGCCAUCAUUUAAAGAAAGCGUAAUAGCUCACUGGUCGAGUCGGCCUGCGCGGAAGAUGUAACGGGGCUAAACCAUGCACCGAAGCUGCGGCAGCGACA
rnacentral:rRNA from 1 species